ensembl:lncRNA
CUGAGGAAGAAGCAGGUGGAAGGCAAUGAGCUUUGUUCCUGCUGAGGAGGCUGGUGUCUGGUUAAUGGAGACAUGGCUCUGCUCCCACGUUGUGCCAGGGGUGAUGAGGUGACAAGGAUGAACUCCUGCUGAUGGCAGCUGGUCCUGCUCUUCUCCAGCUCUGGAUGUGCUGAUGGCUGGUUUCGGUGGCAAGAUGGAUAGAGCCUGGAGGAGGUGCUGGCGUGACCCCCAGCCUGCUGGCCACACCAGCCCUCUGUGCACAGAGAGCGCCGACAAGAGCAGCCUAUGGAGUGUGGGGAAGGCAUGAGAGGAAACUGAGUCGCAACGGCUUUAAGAGGAUGUAACAAGGGCUUCUUCUGAAAUAACAGAUCUUACUGUAACCAAAUAUUGCCAUCCAGGAAAGCCAUUUUGCAACCAGCAAGGAGGCUUCUUCCUUCCCAGCAGCCGCUGAAAAGGCCCUUUGUUCUCAG